UUCCAGAUGCAUCAGAGGAAGAGCCGCCCAAUAGUGAGGAUGAUACCGAUUUGAUCGUUAUCGAUUUGAAUGAACAUCGGUUGCAUAACAGGAAUCCUGUCACAACGCCAGACGCUAACAACGCUGUAUCCAAGCUCUCUGAUAGCGAUGACAAGCGUAAUUGUCCUAAAAAUGACGAUAAUUGUGAAUUAUUAUGCGGCGAAAGCAGCGUGGAGCGUAAUUGUUCCAAAGAGGCCGAUAAUUUUUUUUGUGAAUCCUCAACCAGUGAAGUUACUGAAGAAGAAUUUUCCAAGAAGAAGAAUGAUGAUAACAGCUCAAAUAGCAGCCCCUAAAAUGCCCUAAUAGGGUGCAUACCAGUUAAUGUUAGUUUAAUCAAUUCUCAACCAGUGAAGUUAAUGAAUUUUCCAAGAACGAUGAUGAUCAGAGCUGAAAUACCAGCCUUUAAAAUGCCCUAAUAGGGUUU